GACGAACGCUGGCGGCGUGCUUAACACAUGCAAGUCGAACGGAAAGGCCCUGCUUUUGUGGGGUGCUCGAGUGGCGAACGGGUGAGUAACACGUGAGUAACCUGCCCUUGACUUUGGGAUAACUUCAGGAAACUGGGGCUAAUACCGGAUAGGAGCUCCUGCUGCAUGGUGGGGGUUGGAAAGUUUCGGCGGUUGGGGAUGGACUCGCGGCUUAUCAGCUUGUUGGUGGGGUAGUGGUUUACCAAGGCUUUGACGGGUAGCCGGCCUGAGAGGGGGCCCGGCCACAUUGGGACUGGGAUACGGCCAGGACUCCUACGGGAGGCAGAAGGGGGGAAUAUUGCACAAGGGGCGGAAGCCUGAUGCAGAACCGCCGCGUGCGGGAUGACGGCCUUCGGGUUGUAACCCGUUUUGGCCAGUGACGAAGCGUGAGUGACGGUAAUGGGUAAAGAAGCACCGGCUAACUACGUG
rnacentral:rRNA from 1 species